rnacentral:rRNA from 1 species
GAUGAACGCUAGCUACAGGCUUAACACAUGCAAGUCGAGGGGCAGCAUGAAGUCAGCUUGCUGACUUUGAUGGCGACCGGCGCACGGGUGAGUAACGCGUAUCCAACCUUCCCCUUACUCAGGAAUAGCCCGUUGAAAGACGGAUUAAUGCCUGAUGUUCUCAUGUUGCCGCAUGGCGAUAUGAGCAAAGAUUCAUCGGUAAGGGAUGGGGAUGCGUAUGAUUAGCUUGUUGGCGGGGUAACGGCCCACCAAGGCAACGAUCAUUAGGGGUUCUGAGAGGAAGGUCCCCCACACUGGAACUGAGACACGGUCCAGACUCCUACGGGAGGCAGCAGUGAGGAAUGUUGGUCAAUGGUCUGACGACUGAACCAGCCAUGCCGCGUGAAGGUGACGGCCCUAUGGGGUCUUAAAACUUCUUUUGUAAGGGAGCAAUAAGGUCUACGUGUAGUCUGAUGAGAGUACCUUACGAAUAAGCAUCGG